rnacentral:lncRNA from 1 species
AAACUGCCCUGCUUCCUAUGGUUCCUUUGAUGCUGAUUUGCUUCUUUAAGCCUUCCUUCCUUCCAAACCAUGAAUCAGGUCCUUCCAGAGGCUAAGAAUUAAGUUCACAAUUAAGGCGACUCCCUCACUGUUUCCUCUGCUUUCAGAGAGGGGAAAAUACUUCCAGGACAAGUCAAGAAUUUAUCAGAUGCUCUGCUUUCAGCAGCCUGAAACUUUCAGCAGGAACACGAUAGCCGAAAUCCCAUGCCACUUCUUCUAUUGAGGCUUCCGUUUAAAUCAGAUUAGGGUGAGCCACAAGAAAAAUUCUUCAGAGAUACGAGUCGUGGGCGUAAAACAGCAGCUGUUGUGUAGCUCACACAAGUUCUUGCUAAUCUGCUGGUUUUUAAACUCGUGAUCUGACUUGUCUGAGAGCAUGCCUUGUGGACUUCAAGCCCCAGCAUGAGAUCCAGUGAUAACAGCCUUGCAGAGACUACUUCCAACCUCCACAAUUGUAUAAGCCAGGUCCCCGUAACAAAUCUCAUACUGGUUCUGCUUCCCUGGUUGAAAUUUGAAUACAGUCACUCUAUUGACCAGGACGACCCUGUUGCAGUACAUGGUUGUCUGCAGUCACCUGGCUGGUAGAUUCCUCCAAAUCUAGGGGGAAGGACUAAAGGGCCCCCAAGAGGCUAUAGUGAUGAUGUGAUAAUUAAUUUUAUGUGUCAACUUGAGUGGGCUGAAGGAUGCCCAGAAAGGUGGUAAAACAUUAUUUGGGAGGGUAUCUAUGAAGGUGUUUCAAGAAGAAAUUAGCAUCAAAAUCUGUAGACAGAGUAAAGAAGAUCUGCCCUCCCCAGUGUGGGUAGGCAUCAUUCCAUCACUUGAUGGUGCAGAAAAGGUAAAAAGGUGGAAGAAGGGCAAAUUCUCUCUCUUUUUCAGCUGAGACAUCCACCUUCUGCAGAAAGGCAUAGGAGCUCCCGGCUCUCAAGCCUUCAGACUCUGGAACUUUUACCAGUGGCCUCCCAGUUCUCAGGACUGUGGACUUGAUCUGAAUUACACCACUGGCUUUCCUGGUUUUCCAGCUGCAGAUGGCAGAUCAUGGGACUUAUUCCCAUGUGAGCCAAUUCCCAUAUUAAACCUCCUCUCCUGCCUCUCUAUAUAUCCUAUAGUUUCUGUUUUUCUGAAGAAUCCUGACUAUACCAACAACUUGGAAACUUAGAAGUAACAGGUAAUAACAAUGAUGCUGCGGAUACAAACAUGACAGGUACACAGCAUGUACUAAAUGUAGGGUCCCAGUACUACAGACUCAUUUUUUUCUCACCAACCACCCUAUAAAAUAGGUACUGUUAUUUUAUCUCCCUCUAUACUCUGAGGCACACAUAGCUGAAAUAACUCGCCAGUAAGUAGAAAGCCAAAAUUAAACUCAGGUACUCUGGCUCCAGAAUCUGUGCUCUUCAAUACUAUUGCACCAUUCCAAAUCAACCUAAAUGUAAUGCUUUCCAUCCUCUGGCUACCCUGACUUUUAGAAAUUUUUCACAACAGAAAAAUAGUGUGCUAGCCUGUGACAGUGCAGCCAGGAAACUUCUGUUCUGGUCCUGAUUUCACCACUGACUGGCUGUUGUUAAAGCAAACUAAGUAUGGCCUGAGAAGGACCGCAUACUUCUGUAUCUGAGUGAUUGUGGAUGAACUGUAACCUAGCUUAACAGGCAGACUAAUAGGCCUAAUAACAGGCGAAUAGACUAAUAGGCCAAGCUCUAACCAAUCCAGCCAUCUGUUCCUCACUUCCAAUUUCUGUACGUCACUUCCCUUUUUUUUUCCCUUCUACCAUGUGGCUGCGCUGGAGUCUCUGUGAAUCUGCUGUGAUAGUGGGGGCUGCCCGAUUCGUGAAUCAUUCAUUGUUCAAUUAAACACCUUUAAAUUUAACCUGGGUGAAGCUUUUCUUUUAUCACUGUGUAGCAUUGGGCAGGUCAGGCUAACUUCCUUACUUGUAAAAUGAUCUCAGUGCCUUCUUCCAGCUAUAAAAGUUCACAAUUCUAUGGUGUUAAAGUUCUGAUUAUGAUGUUAAAAGAUCCUUGGAAAAAAGCUG